CAGACAUCUUCGGCGCGACCUGAGAUACCACCUUAACAAGUUGCCAUGUAAGGUUGCAUUGGUUAAAGACGACUUGUCUCUGGAAAUUUGGAAAUCUCAUAAUACACAUGACACAAAGAUCACAGCAACAAAGUUUGUAUUUUCUUUAUCAAAGUUUGUGUCGCUAUCAGAUUGUCAUUGUAUCGAAGACAUUGAGCACUCAAUUGUCUCUUUCAAAAGCUAUCCCCAUUCUAUAGUUGCUUCCGAUACCAGUAGUAUGAUUAGGAGAUAUACGAAGCAGUCAAGUGUUAACAGGUCGCGCGAUUACAGUUCCGUAUCAGAAUUUGGAUCCUCUUCUAAGCAAGAAAGAUCAGGCAUAAGCAUUAAAGGAGAAUAUAGGUAUCUCACCAGUUCUCAGAUUGACCAUAAGCCAAACCAAAGUGACUUUCUGCCAAAACAUUCAGACGCACCGCUUCUUUGUACUGGCUGUGGGACAAGAACUGAGUUAUCUAUCUCAGACUCAGUGAAGUUCAACUACUCUGACAUACAACUUGCAACAAAUGACUUUUCAAAGGACAACUUAUUAGGUGAAGGUGGCUACGGUCACGUAUACAAGGGCGUGCUUAAAGAUGGACAGCAAAUUGCGGCAAAGGUAAGGAAAGAAGAAAGUUCACAAGGAUUUUCUGAAUUUCAUUCUGAGGUCUACGUCUUAAGUUUUGCGCGA
rnacentral:sRNA from 1 species